AUUGAACGCUGGCGGCAUGCCUUACACAUGCAAGUCGAACGGUAACAGGUCUUCGGCUGCUGCCGAGUGGCGAACGGGUGAGUAAUACAUCGGAACGUGCCCGAUCGUGGGGGAUAACGAAGCGAAAGCUUUGCUAAUACCGCAUACGAUCUACGGAUGAAAGCAGGGGACCGCAAGGCCUUGCGCGAACGGAGCGGCCGAUGGCAGAUUAGGUAGUUGGUGGGAUAAAAGCUUACCAAGCCGACGAUCUGUAGCUGGUCUGAGAGGACGACCAGCCACACUGGGACUGAGACACGGCCCAGACUCCUACGGGAGGCAGCAGUGGGGAAUUUUGGACAAUGGGCGAAAGCCUGAUCCAGCCAUGCCGCGUGCAGGAUGAAGGCCUUCGGGUUGUAAACUGCUUUUGUACGGAACGAAAAGACUCUGGUUAAUACCUGGGGUCCAUGACGGUACCGUAAGAAUAAGCACCGGCUAACUACGUG
rnacentral:rRNA from 1 species